rnacentral:rRNA from 1 species
CCUACGGGUGGCUGCAGUGGGGCAUAUUGCACAAUGGGCGCAAGCCUGAUGCAGCCAUGCCGCGUGUGUGAAGAAGGCCUUCGGGUUGUAAAGCACUUUCAGCGGGGAGGAAGGCGGUGAGGUUAAUAACCUCAUCGAUUGACGUUACCCGCAGAAGAAGCACCGGCUAACUCCGUACCAGCAGCCGCGGUAAUACGGAGGGUGCGAGCGUUAAUCGGAAUUACUGGGCGUACAGCGCACGCAGGCGGUCUGUCAAGUCGGAUGUGAAAUCCCCGGGCUCAACCUGGGAACUGCAUUCGAAACUGGCAGGCUAGAGUCUUGUAGAGGGGGGUAGAAUUCCAGGUGUAGCGGUGAAAUGCGUAGAGAUCUGGAGGAAUACCGGUGGCGAAGGCGGCCCCCUGGACAAAGACUGACGCUCAGGUGCGAAAGCGUGGGGAGCAAACAGGAUUAGAUACCCCUGUAGUC